GAUGAACGCUGGCGGCGUGCCUAAUACAUGCAAGUCGAGCGAACAGACGAGGAGCUUGCUCCUCUGACGUUAGCGGCGGACGGGUGAGUAACACGUGGAUAACCUACCUAUAAGACUGGGAUAACUUCGGGAAACCGGAGCUAAUACCGGAUAAUAUAUUGAACCGCAUGGUUCAAUAGUGAAAGACGGUUUUGCUGUCACUUAUAGAUGGAUCCGCGCCGCAUUAGCUAGUUGGUAAGGUAACGGCUUACCAAGGCAACGAUGCGUAGCCGACCUGAGAGGGUGAUCGGCCACCUUGGAACUGAGACACGGUCCAGACUCCUACGGGAGGCAGCAGUAGGGAAUCUUCCGCAAUGGGCGAAAGCCUGACGGAGCAACGCCGCGUGAGUGAUGAAGGUCUUCGGAUCGUAAAACUCUGUUAUUAGGGAAGAACAAAUGUGUAAGUAACUAUGCACGUCUUGACGGUACCUACUCAGAAAGCCACGGCUAACUACGUG
rnacentral:rRNA from 1 species